rnacentral:rRNA from 1 species
UACGUAGGGUGCAAGCGUUAAUCGGAAUUACUGGGCGUAAAGCGUGCGCAGGCGGUUGUGCAAGUCCGAUGUUAAAUCCCCGGGCUUAACCUGGGAAUGGCAUUGGUGACUGCACGGCUAGAGUGUGUCAGAGGGGGGUAGAAUUCCACGUGUAGCAGUGAAAUGCGUAGAGAUGUGGAGGAAUACCGAUGGCGAAGGCAGCCCCCUGGGAUAACACUGACGCUCAUGUACGAAAGCGUGGGGAGCAAACAGG